rnacentral:rRNA from 1 species
UGCGCAGGCGGCCAAGUGUGUGAGGCGUGAAAGCCUGGAGCUCAACUCCAGAAUUGCACCUCAAACUACAUGGCUAGAGCAUUGGAGAGGGUAGCAGAAUUCACGGUGUAGCAGUGAAAUGCGUAGAUAUCGUGAGGAAUACCAGAGGCGAAGGCGGCUACCUGGACAAUUGCUGACGCUCAGGCACGAAAGCGUGGGGAGCAAAAGGGAUUAGAUACCCCUGUAGUCCACGCCCUAAACGGUGCACACUAGGUCUUGGAGGAUUCGACCCCUUCAGGGCCCAAGCUAACGCGUCAAGUGUGCCGCCUGAGGACUACGGCCGCAAGGCUAAA